rnacentral:tRNA from 1 species
GAGGGUAGCGGUCAGUGGUAGAGUGCCUGCUUAGCAUGCAUGAGGUCCUGGGUUCAAUUCCCAGUGCCUCCA